rnacentral:rRNA from 1 species
UCUCACUGACCCAAUGGCUUCAUUCGCCUUGCGCGGAGGAGCUCACUAUGCGACCCCAGGUCAGGCGGGGCUACCCGCUGAGUUUAAGCAUAUC